GAUGAACGCUGGCGGCGUGCCUAAUACAUGCAAGUCGAGCGAACAGACGAGGAGCUUGCUCCUCUGACGUUAGCGGCGGACGGGUGAGUAACACGUGGAUAACCUAUCUAUAAGACUGGGAUAACUUCGGGACACCGGAGCUAAUACCGGAUAAUAUAUUGAACCGCCUGGUUCAAUAGUGAAAGACGGUUUUGCUGUCACUUAUAGAUGGAUCCGCGCCGCAUUAGCUAGUUGGUAAGGUAACGGCUUAACAAGGCAACGAUGCGUAGCCGACCUGAGAGUGUGAGCGGCCACACUGGAACUGAGAAACGGUCCAGACGCCUACGGUAGGCAGCAGUAGGGAAUCUUCCGCAAUUGGCGAAAGCCUGACGGAGCAACGCCGCGUGAGUGAUGAAGGUCUUCGGAUCUUAAAACUCUGUUAUUAGGGAAGAACAAAUGUGUAAGUAACUAUGCACGUCUUGACGGUACCUAAUCAGAAAGCCACGGCUAACUACGUG
rnacentral:rRNA from 1 species